rnacentral:rRNA from 1 species
UCCGCCUGGGAAGUACGGCCGCAAGGCUAAAACUCAAAGGAAUUGACGGGAACCCGCACAAGCGGUGGAGCAUGUGGUUUAAUUCGACAAUAAGCGAGAAACCUUACCAGGGCUCAACUACUAGCUGCAAAGCCCCCGAAAGGGGGAAUCCUCCGAGGGUGCUAGAUAGGUGCUGCAUGGUUGUCGUCAGCUCGUGUCGUGAGAUGUACGGUUAAGUCCGGAAACGAGCGCAACCCUUACCCCGUGUUGAAUUGUUCACGGGGGACUGCCGCGUAUAACGCGGAGGAAGGUGGGGAUGACGUCAAAUCAGCAUGGCUCUUACGUCCUGGGCUACACACGUGCUACAAUGGCCGGCACAACGGGACGCCAAGCCGAAAGGCGGAGCAAAUCCCAGCAAAACCGGUCUCAGUUCGGAUUGAGGUCUGCAACUCGACCUCAUGAAGUCGGAAUCGCUAGUAACCGCGUAUCAGGCAUGGCGCGGUGAAUACGUUCUCGGGUUUUGUACACACCGCCCGUCACGUCAAGGAAGCCGGUAACGCCCGAACAUCCACGUUCGUGGGUGGAAGGUGGGACUGGUGACAGGGACGAAGUCGUAACAAGGCAUCCGUAGCGGAAGCUGUGGAUGGAUCACCUCCUUUCUAGGGAGAAAAUU